rnacentral:rRNA from 1 species
AGCGAACGCUGGUGGCAGGCCUAACACAUGCAAGUCGAACGAACUCUUCGGAGUUAGUGGCGGACGGGUGAGUAACACGUGGGAACGUGCCUUUAGGUUCGGAAUAACUCAGGGAAACUUGUGCUAAUACCGAAUGUGCCCUUCGGGGGAAAGAUUUAUCGCCUUUAGAGCGGCCCGCGUCUGAUUAGCUAGUUGGUGAGGUAAAGGCUCACCAAGGCGACGAUCAGUAGCUGGUCUGAGAGGAUGAUCAGCCACAUUGGGACUGAGACACGGCCCAAACUCCUACGGGAGGCAGCAGUGGGGAAUCUUGCGCAAUGGGCGAAAGCCUGACGCAGCCAUGCCGCGUGAAUGAUGAAGGUCUUAGGAUUGUAAAAUUCUUUCACCGGGGACGAUAAUGACGGUACCCGGAGAAGAAGCCCCGGCUAACUUCGU